UCAUUUUUAUUUAUGCUAAAUAUUUAUUUCACAGCUUAUGGCACAAGUGAAAAUGGGACAAGUGAAAUUAAUCUAAAAUGCCACAGCGCUGUGAGCUAAUAGAUACAAAAUUCUCGAAUAGAAUAGCAGAAAGCGACUAACUCAACCAUCGAUUUGUGACUGAUGGAACGGAGUCUUUAUUUCCUCUGAAGUUUUCAAUGCAGUUACUAUUCCAGAGGGCAGAGAACUGCAGUGUCACAUUCCUCGUCACAUCAGCUGCUUUCUCAGGUGCAUUGAAAACUGCACUUUCUUUUUCUUUGAUGGGAAGUGAAAAAUCUGAUCGCUCAUCGUUUUUUGUACUGUACUCACUGAGACCAGCCUCAGUUCGGAAGAGGAAGAUUCGCUAAGGAGGCUUAAUUUUUCAAGUGUAUGACUCAAUAUAUUUCCUGUGCUUAACCUGGCCUUGCAGUUGCUAAGAAUGUUUUUUUUUGUUAGCACUAGAAGUGAUAUGUUUUCGCUGAAUAAUUUUCUUUCAUUAAAAUGUUGUCGCAAUUGGCUAAGAUGUAGAAGAAUAUCGCUUUGAUAUACAUAGUUUUUUGUCGAGAUGCUUAUGCACUGGAAUGCAUGAUAGGGAUUUGUGGCGCCAAGACAAACAUUCCGCUCCUACUGGAACGCAGCAGACGCUCUUUGCUCUCUAAGCUGAGAACGAAGGAACGACCCCACCAGGUUUCGGCUUCUCACCUUUGCUUUGCCUCCAAACAGAUACUUGGCUGAAGUUGGCAGUUGUGAGCUGAUCCACUUAUAAAUGAAAAUUUUCUCCAUUGGCUUGUACUCUGGCAUAUGGAAUGGUGUGUACUUAUUUCAAAUAGUUGUAGUCUU